GUGAAGACAUAUCUGUAUUUUCCAGGGAAGGCCUUAAGAAGUAAGGAGUGGCAUGGAGAUCCUGGCCUGAGCCUUGAAGACUGCAGACUGAAAUGGGCAGUGAAAAGCCUCCAGCCUAGAAAGAAGAAAAAAGGUGCUUUGGGCCCUUAGGGCCUCCAUCACAAAGGUCCUCUAGGGUAUGUCCUGUUGAGAGCCACAGCCGAAGUGGACCCCAGCAAACUUCCAGCUGAUUGGCUCCUCUGCAGUAAUGCUCAUUGGGCUGUUUCCCCGCCCUUUCAGACCACGGAGCUGCUCAUUGGGGGACUCAUUUGGCUCUGCCCACGCGACCAAGCCAAUCUGCCUUAAGAGCGGGACCUAAGAGUUCCAGUUGAGGUGCUCACCGGAAGAGCCAGUGGUGGCAGUUGGGCUCUCAGGGAAUUCCUGGAGAGCUUGCGUGGUGCGGCGUGUGUUCAAAAAAUAAAGUUCGUUCCUGCUUGACAAGUGGCUCGUGAAUUGUGCCCAGCCAGACUGUGGCAAUGUCCUACCUGG
rnacentral:lncRNA from 1 species